rnacentral:lncRNA from 1 species
UUUUAUCUUCUCUCAACAGAGAGAGAAUAAAUGCUCCUCUCUCUCAUAUUUUAGGCUAUUACUGCCGGAGCUCCGACCGGCCACCGUUCCAACGGCCUUCUCAUAUGAUUCACCAUCACCCCCUUCGUUAUACACACACAGUCGUUCCCCCUCAAAAUAACCUAUCUUCAUCUCUCAACCAUGAGAGACAAGGGAGCCUCUCUCCUUCAUCUAACUGCCACCGGAGUUAAUUGCCGGCGGGCCAAUGGAUACUACCACCUCUCACCACUGUUUCACUCAUAUUUCUCAUCUCUCUCUCAGCUAGCAUCACCGCCGCUGCCAUCUCAGGCAAGUUGACCGGCGACCACUAUUCACCGUUGUGUUCCACUGCUAUAGCCUCCAUCCCUCUCUCUCUCUCUCACGCCAUUCUACUAUUCCUCCCUCGUCGUUCUUUAUUACUGUCGCUGCCAAAGACCUACCGGACAAUGGCCAGUAGCAGCCAUGGCUGGCCACUACUAAAAUCGACAGAUCUGGGCGAAUCUAAGCGAACCUAACCCAAUAGAGAAGUUCGAUGACUCUUACUCUCAAGCGUCGCUCCGAUAAACUUUGUUGAAGUGACGCUUCCGGAUUGGGACUCUUGUUUUCUUCUUUUCCUCUAUCAUGUGGCGUGAAGGGGGUUUAAUCAUAACUUAGACUUGGCCGGAGAAUGAUUUUUCCGGCAACCUCUGUUGCUGGCCUGACACUGUUGCUCUGAUAGUAGCCACCAUCCACAUGGUGAUUCUGUUCUUUGAUUUCUCGACUUCAUUUAUUCGCAAGGACAUUUUAUUCAUCGAUUUUAUAUCUUUACUUGAGUUGUGACUAUGAUUCUUGAUUUGUGACUGUUUCUGGUGUUCUAAUUUUUCCGGCGACUUUGUUAUCGUUUCUGGUCAUGUUUAUCCGUCUCCAGACAUUGACUGCAUCUUCAAUAUUUCUGAAUCUAGCUAGAAAAUAUUUGUUGCCUCGCUAAAAUAUUUCCUGUGACUAUGUACAUGGAGCCUUGCUUCUGCCGAAAAUUUCCAGCAACAUUAUCGGUCUCUCACCAAUA